UGGCUCAGAUUGAACGCUGGCGGCAGGCCUAACACAUGCAAGUCGAGCGGAAACGAGAUAUCUGAACCUUCGGGGAACGAUAUCGGCGUCGAGCGGCGGACGGGUGAGUAAUGCCUGGGAAAUUGCCCUGAUGUGGGGGAUAACCAUUGGAAACGAUGGCUAAUACCGCAUAAUAGCUUCGGCUCAAAGAGGGGGACCUUCGGGCCUCUCGCGUCAGGAUAUGCCCAGGUGGGAUUAGCUAGUUGGUGAGGUAAGGGCUCACCAAGGCGACGAUCCCUAGCUGGUCUGAGAGGAUGAUCAGCCACACUGGAACUGAGACACGGUCCAGACUCCUACGGGAGGCAGCAGUGGGGAAUAUUGCACAAUGGGCGCAAGCCUGAUGCAGCCAUGCCGCGUGUGUGAAGAAGGCCUUCGGGUUGUAAAGCACUUUCAGUCGUGAGGAAGGUAGUGUGUUUAAUAGAUGCAUUAUUUGACGUUAGCGACAGAAGAAGCACCGGCUAACUCCGUGCCAGCAGCCGCGGUAAUACGGAGGGUGCGAGCGUUAAUCGGAAUUACUGGGCGUAAAGCGCAUGCAGGUGGUGUGUUAAGUCAGAUGUGAAAGCCCGGGGCUCAACCUCGGAAUUGCAUUUGAAACUGGCAGACUAGAGUACUGUAGAGGGGGGUAGAAUUUCAGGUGUAGCGGUGAAAUGCGUAGAGAUCUGAAGGAAUACCGGUGGCGAAGGCGGCCCCCUGGACAGAUACUGACACUCAGAUGCGAAAGCGUGGGGAGCAAACAGGAUUAGAUACCCUGGUAGUCCACGCCGUAAACGAUGUCUACUUGGAGGUUGUGGCCUUGAGCCGUGGCUUUCGGAGCUAACGCGUUAAGUAGACCGCCUGGGGAGUACGGUCGCAAGAUUAAAACUCAAAUGAAUUGACGGGGGCCCGCACAAGCGGUGGAGCAUGUGGUUUAAUUCGAUGCAACGCGAAGAACCUUACCUACUCUUGACAUCCAGAGAACUUUCCAGAGAUGGAUUGGUGCCUUCGGGAACUCUGAGACAGGUGCUGCAUGGCUGUCGUCAGCUCGUGUUGUGAAAUGUUGGGUUAAGUCCCGCAACGAGCGCAACCCUUAUCCUUGUUUGCCAGCACGUAAUGGUGGGAACUCUCAGGGAGACUGCCGGUGAUAAACCGGAGGAAGGUGGGGGACGACGUCAAGUCAUCAUGGCCCUUACGAGUAGGGCUACACACGUGCUACAAUGGCGCAUACAGAGGGCGGCCAACUUGCGAAAGUGAGCGAAUCCCAAAAAGUGCGUC
rnacentral:rRNA from 1 species